rnacentral:rRNA from 1 species
UACGAAGGGGGCUAGCGUUGCUCGGAAUUACUGGGCGUAAAGGGCGCGUAGGCGGCCGAUCAAGUCAGGCGUGAAAUUCCCGGGCUCAACCUGGGAACCGCGCUUGAGACUGGCAUGCUCGAGUUCGGGAGAGGAUGGUGGAAUUCCCAGUGUAGAGGUGAAAUUCGUAGAUAUUGGGAAGAACACCGAUGGCGAAGGCAGCCAUCUGGACCGACACUGACGCUGAGGCGCGAAAGCGUGGGGAGCAAACAGG